GCGAAGCUGCAUCCAGCUUACGCGUGUGUGAGAAGCUCUAGGUUGUAAAGCACUUCAAUUGGAAGGAAAAACUCAUGGCCAAUACCCGUGAGCUUGACAUUACCUUUAGAAGAAGCACCGGCUAACUCCGUGCCAGCAGCCGCGGUAAUACGGAGGGUGCAAGCGUUAAUCGGAAUUACUGGGCGUAAAGCGUGCGUAGGCGGCUCGCUAAGUCAGAUGUGAAAGCCCCGAGGCUCAACCUAUGGGAACGGCAGUUU
rnacentral:rRNA from 1 species